rnacentral:rRNA from 1 species
UACAGAGGAUGCAAGCGUUAUCCGGAAUGAUUGGGCGUAAAGCGUCUGUAGGUGGCUUUUUAAGUCCGCCGUCAAAUCCCAGGGCUCAACUCUGGACAGGCGGUGGAAACUACCAAGCUGGAGUACGGUAGGGGCAGAGGGAAUUUCCGGUAGAGCGGUGAAAUGCGUAGAGAUCUGGAAGAACACCGAAGGCGAAGGCAGCGUUCUGGGAGCAACUGACGCUCAUGUGCGAAAGCCAGGGGAGCGGAACGGG